UGGGGAGAUUGGAAUGGGAUUACUUUGGCCCA
rnacentral:piRNA from 1 species